AACGAACGCUGGCGGCAGGCCUAACACAUGCAAGUCGAGCGAAGCCUUCGGGCUUAGCGGCGGACGGGUGAGUAACGCGUGGGAACGUGCCCUUUGCUACGGAAUAGCCCCGGGAAACUGGGAGUAAUACCGUAUGUGCCCUUCGGGGGAAAGAUUUAUCGGCAAAGGAUCGGCCCGCGUUGGAUUAGGUAGUUGGUGGGGUAAUGGCCUACCAAGCCGACGAUCCAUAGCUGGUUUGAGAGGAUGAUCAGCCACACUGGGACUGAGACACGGCCCAGACUCCUACGGGAGGCAGCAGUGGGGAAUCUUAGACAAUGGGGGAAACCCUGAUCUAGCCAUGCCGCGUGAUCGAUGAAGGCCUUAGGGUUGUAAAGAUCUUUCAGUGGGGAAGAUAAUGACGGUACCAGCAGAAGAAGCCCCGGCUAACUCCGUGCCAGCCGCCGCCGUAACAC
rnacentral:rRNA from 1 species